rnacentral:rRNA from 1 species
UACGGGGGGGGCAAGCGUUGUUCGGAAUUACUGGGCGUAAAGGGCUCGUAGGUGGCCAACUAAGUCAGACGUGAAAUCCCACGGCUCAACCGUGGAACUGCUGGAUAUACUGCCUGUCUUGAGCAACCUAGGGGCUACCGGAACAAAUGGUGGAGCGGUGAAAUGCGUAGAUAUCAUUUGGAACGCCAAUGGUGAAAACAGGUAGCUGGGGGUUUGCUGACGCUGAGACACGAAAGCCAGGGGAGCAAACGGGG